rnacentral:rRNA from 1 species
GACAGACGGCCCCGAGCGUUAGGCGGAAUCACUGGGCUUAAAGCGUGUGUAGGCGGAUCGUUAAGUGUCUUGUCGAAAUCCCACGGCUCACCCGUGGAACCGCUGGGCAUACUGGCGAUCUUGGGCCGUUCAGGGGCGACUGGAACAAGCGGUGGAGCGGUGAAAUGCGUAGAUAUCGCUUGGAACGCCGAAGGUGAAAACAGGUCGCUGGGGACGCGCCGACGCUGAGACACGAAAGCCAGGGGAGCAAACGGG